UCAAUAUGGCAUUUCACAUUCAGUCUCCUCUCUACCAACAACCAAAGUCCGACCUGUACACUUUGUCUGAUGAUGGCUAUGUGGUCUGCAACGAGGCUAGGAAAAAUCCAACUAACCCAACUAUGAAUUGGGACCUGAAUUUAAGAAGGUAGGCAACUUCUUAAGUCGUAUCAAGUCUAUUCCCAGUAUUGUUGAACUAGACAGCCUAAAGAUGAGUGGUGAUGGUGGUUUGGAUCUGGUAUCACCCUGAAGGACUGGUUCCAAAACUGAGCUUGCUCCAGUUUCAGUUUCAACAGGUUCUCGCACUGAUGCAAUACCAUAUUCUGGGAAAUAUGAUAGGGUAGUUGGCAUGUUGGGUACAAUAGAAGCCAUCAACGUUCUAAAGCGUAGGAACAAGUUUUUGGAUACAAAUCUGGAGAAAGUUUGUGGAGCUUCCCACACAUUCAUUUGGCAACCAAGAUACACGUGAUGCUUCGUCUGCAGCAAUCCACCAUGAGAACAAAGCUGUCAUGUACCACUGCAAAUAUCCGCUUUUAAGGUUUAUUGAUGACUUCAUUUUCAUGUCAACGUCAAAGAAACGGGCCUCUUUGUUCUUCUCCCGGUUGCAAGGAGGAUUUCAUGGAUACAACUGCUAUACGA